UCUAUUAUGUUUUUUUCUCUCUCUCUCUCUCUCACUCGCGUAUCCUCUCGCUAUUUCUCAGCCACGAAUUCACGCGGCGGCGAUGUGGCCGAAGCACCGCCACCUCUCCCUUCUCUCCUCGUCGUCCUCCCCCCUACUCUCACCCCAGCCACCUCUAAAACCCUAGACGUUAUAAAGCGAACCCCACGGAGCGAUGCUCCGAUCCUUCCACCACCACCUCCUCCUCCUCGGAUUCGGCCUCUCCCCCCUCCCCCACCGCCGCCCCCGCUUCCCCUCCUCCAUCGCCUCCAUCUCCUCCUCCUCAGCCGCCGUCGCCGCCGCCGCCGCUCCGCCGCCGCAGCUCGUCGUCCUCCUCGCCUGGCGUUUGCGGCCCCCCCGCCGCGUUCUCGGCGCGUUCCGGAUGGCUUCGGGGGGCUCGGAGAUGAGCCCCGACGCGGACGUCGCCUCCGCCUCCGCCGCCGCUGAAGUGGCGCCGCCUCCGGUACAUAAGAGCAAAAUUCGAUUUUGCCAAGCUUGUGGAAGUCCAACGAAACAAGUUGUACCAGAGGGAGAGGAAAAACUCAGGGCUGUUUGUACAGUUUGUGGGAAAAUCCACUAUGAAAAUCCCAAAAUGGUCGUUGGAUGCCUCGUGGAGCAUGAUAACAAGGUCUUACUAUGCAAAAGGAAGAUUGAACCGUCUUAUGGGCUUUGGACUCUUCCUGCUGGUUAUCUGGAGGUUGGGGAGUCUGCUGCUGAGGGGGCCACUCGAGAAACCUUGGAAGAAGCAUGUGCAGAAGUUGAAAUACUUUCACCUUUUGCUCAGUUAGAUAUUCCACGGAUUGGCCAAAGUUACAUCAUUUUCCGAGCGAAACUAAAGACGCCCAAAUUUUCACCCGGCCCUGAGUCACUAGAGUGUGCACUUUUUGCACUGGAUGAAGUACCAUUUCACUCAUUGGCGUUCUCAUCAAUUGUUGUUACCUUGAAGAUGUACAUGGAAGAUAUGAAAUCUGGAAAUAUCAAGUUUCACUAUUGCACCAUAAACAAAAGGCCAGGUGCCAGCCCAUCCGAUCUGCAUAGCUUUGAUGUGGACCAUCAUUUGCACUCGUGAUUGUUAUGCAUUAGUUUCCUUCCGAGAAAUAAAAUUGAAGCCGCUGAGAGAUUUCUCGAAUAUUGAUGGCCGGCUGGUGAAUGGAAUCAGAGAAGAAAAUUAUCAUUGCUUCUGAUCUGAGUAUCAAACUGGUUAUACACUAGGGGAUAGACGCAAAAUGUAGCUUCAACUGCCAUACUGCACGUGCGUCUGCUAGAAAUGGCCAUUAAAUCUUAUUACACAAGCACUGCUUUCCGCUAUCUGAAAACAUGUGACUGGAGAUUAGUGCCUAAUUUUUGACUAUUUAGAGCCAUAGUGCAAGUGCAAGGGUUUGGAAUUUCUAGCAGAGUGUCGAAGCAGCACCUAGCUCUCUAGGUAUUGUUAGUACUUUGGUUACCUUUUAUGUUAAGGUCUACUUAACCUACCUACUAAACUACUUAGCUCAAAAGAUUUUAUGAAUGGAGGCUCUUUUUAUUUAGGGUAAACUUUAGCUUAACUCAUUUUCACUUUGUCAUCUUAUGAUUCAAAAAGUUGUAUUUGACUGCACUAUAAUUGAGCUCAUUUUUAUUUUACCACCGUGCGGUUCAAAAAGUUACACUUAAUUAUCUUGUCAUUUUUUAAAAAAAUUUGUUGUGCUAUCCUAUUUGAUAGUAGAUUUUUUUAUGUACAAAUAGAAAUAAAAUCAAAGGGCAGCUAAGUGCAACUUUUUGAAUUAUAAGGUAACAAAGUAAAAAUGAAGUAAACCACAAUGAGCAAAUUGAAGUUUACCCUUUUAUUUAUUUAGAAAUGUUCAUAGCUCAUCAUGUUAGGACAUGCGCUAAAUUAGACCGAACAUUUUUCUUAGUUACCUACCUCCUUUCUUACCUUAGUUACUAACCAACAUAUUGCAUGCCUACUUUUCAAACCUACUUACCUGCUUACCAACUUAUUCCAGAAGAUGUAAUAGAUGAAAACUUUUUUAUAUUCAUUUAAAGAUAUCUGUCAAUACCUUGUCUAAUACCUCACUAUGUUAGUAGAUGUAAGAGAUGAGACUCAACAUUUUCUUGCUUAUCUACUUACCUACCUGCUUCUUUAUGUGCCUAUUUAUCUACCUUUUACUUAUCUGCUAAUUUUCUUAAGAGCAAUGCUACCUGUAUACCUAUCAUAUAGGCAUAAAACUUAAAACGUUAGGCUGCAUGUGGCCCAUAUUACCUAUAUACCUUGUAUUUUUUUUUCCACUAAAGUCUGAAAGGGUUAUGUAAAACUCUUGGAUCGUAACAAAUACACCCCAGUAUAUUGGGGUGUGUUCAUGUAGCGGUUUUUGUUUACUUUAGAAGAGGUAAUAGAGUUAGGCUCUUUUCACUCGCUUAAA